rnacentral:rRNA from 1 species
AGUGAACGCUGGCGGUAGGCCUAACACAUGCAAGUCGAACGGCAGCACAGUAAGAGCUUGCUCUUACGGGUGGCGAGUGGCGGACGGGUGAGGAAUACAUCGGAAUCUACUUUUUCGUGGGGGAUAACGUAGGGAAACUUACGCUAAUACCGCAUACGACCUACGGGUGAAAGCAGGGGAUCUUCGGACCUUGCGCGAUUGAAUGAGCCGAUGUCGGAUUAGCUAGUUGGCGGGGUAAAGGCCCACCAAGGCGACGAUCCGUAGCUGGUCUGAGAGGAUGAUCAGCCACACUGGAACUGAGACACGGUCCAGACUCCUACGGGAGGCAGCAGUGGGGAAUAUUGGACAGUGGGCGCAAGCCUGAUCCAGCCAUACCGCGUGGGUGAAGAAGGCCUUCGGGUUGUAAAGCCCUUUUGUUGGGAAAGAAAAGCAGCAGGUUAAUACCCCGCUGUUCUGACGGGACCCAAAGAAUAAGCACCGGCUAACUUCGU